rnacentral:rRNA from 1 species
AUUGAACGCUGGCGGCAGGCCUAACACAUGCAAGUCGAGCGAGCGGCGGACGGGUGAGUAAUGUAUGGGGAGCUGCCCGAUAGCGGGGGAUAACUACUGGCAACGGUGGCUAAUGCCGCAUACUAUCGGAUGAACCCAUAUGGGAUUAGCUAGUAGGUGGGGUAAAGGCUCAACUAGGGGACGAUCACUAGCUGGUCUGAGAGGAUGAUCAGGCACACUGGGACUGAGACACGGCCCAGACUCCUACGGGAGGCAGCAGUGGGGAAUAUUCCACAAUGGGCGAAAGCCUGAUGCAGCCAUGCCGCGUGUAUGAAGAAGGUCUUAGGGUUGUAAAGUUCUUUUAGCGGGGAGGCGUUACCCGCCGAAGAAGCAACGGCUAACUCCGUGCCAGCAGCCGCGGUAAUAC